UGAUCGGAAUACCAAAGAUUUAUUGCUGAAAGAUGCCCUCGCGUCUGAUUAGAUAGUUGGUGAGGUAACGGCUCACCAAGUCGACGAUCAGUAGCCGGACUGAGAGGUUGAACGGCCACAUUGGGACUGAGAUACGGCCCAGACUCCUACGGGAGGCAGCAGUGGGGAAUAUUGGGCAAUGGGGGAAACCCUGACCCAGCAACGCCGCGUGAAGGAAGAAGGCUUUCGGGUUGUAAACUUCUUUUACCAGGGACGAAGGACGUGACGGUACCUGGAGAAAAAGCCACGGCUAACUACGUGCCAGCAGCCGCGGUAAUACGUAGGUGGCAAGCGUUGUCCGGAUUUACUGGGUGUAAAGGGCGUGUAGGCGGAGAAGCAAGUCAGAAGUGAAAUCCAUGGGCUUAACCCAUGAACUGCUUUUGAAACUGUUUCCCUUGAGUAUCGGAGAGGCAGGCGGAAUUCCUAGUGUAGCGGUGAAAUGCGUAGAUAUUAGGAGGAACACCAGUGGCGAAGGCGGCCUGCUGGACGACAACUGACGCUGAGGCGCGAAAGCGUGGGGAGCAAACAGGAUUAGAUACACUGGUAGUCCACGCUGUAAACGAUGAAUACUAGGUGUGGGAGGACUGACCCCUUCCGUGCCGC
rnacentral:rRNA from 1 species